AACACAGGAUCCUUAACCCAGCGAGUGAGGCCAGGGGUCGAACCUGCAUCCUCGUGGAUCCUCGUUGGAUUCGUUAACCGCGGAGCCAGGAGGGGGAACUCUGUUCAUCUCAUGUUUUAAGACAAAUUCAUUCUAAGGCAGCGAGCUUGGAGGUCUCUUCCAUGGAGCGCUGAGAAUUCUCCCUCUUUAAGAAAGGAGGCAGGAUUCCUGGGCUGGAACACUACUGACGGGACCGUGGGGCUGGCGCAUCUGUGGUUUGAGGCAUUUGGAAUCCGAAAUUGCAGUCAUUCACAGAAUGACUUACAGGCCACCCUGGAUGGUGCCAGCACAAUGGUCACCACUGUGAGGAGGAAGCAGACAGCCAUGGCCAGGACCUUUGGGUGCUGCCCUCUGAGGAGGAAGAAGGCAGGGCCUCAGGGUUGGCAGGGGUCUCAGCUUCCAGGAUGAGUAUGGAGACAAACAAGGCAUGAGGCACCCUGGAGAAAUCGUGUGUCCAUCAGCAUCUCUCUUCGGCCCAUUCUGGCUCCAGGUACACGUGAGGAGCCCUGCACAGGGCUGGAGGGAAGGGCUAGGAAGUCGGGGCUGAUCCUGCACAGAAGGGUUGGCAGGCUCAGGUGACACUAAGAUCCACUGGGAGGUUGGGUCCCCCUCUUUCAGGGUUGUGCUCUGGCAUAUGAGGUGUUCUACAGAAUUUUGGGCUAGGACUGGGGUUCUUAUUCUGCCCUCUUAGCUUCUAGCU
rnacentral:lncRNA from 1 species